AGAGUUUGAUCCUGGCUCAGGAUGAACGCUAGCGACAGGCUUAACACAUGCAAGUCGAGGGGCAGCGAGGAGGUGGCAACACUUCUGUCGGCGACCGGCGCACGGGUGAGUAACGCGUAUGCAACCUGCCCUUCACAGGGGGAUAACCGGGAGAAAUUCCGACUAAUACCGCAUACGUCCUCCGGGGGCAUCCCCGGGGGAUGAAAGAGUUAUCGGUGAAGGAUGGGCAUGCGUGAUAUUAGGUAGUUGGCGGGGCAACGGCCCACCAAGCCUACGAUAUCUAGGGGUUCUGAGAGGAAGGUCCCCCACAUUGGUACUGAGACACGGACCAAACUCCUACGGGAGGCAGCAGUGAGGAAUAUUGGUCAAUGGACGAGAGUCUGAACCAGCCAAGUCGCGUGAAGGAAGACGGAUCUAUGGUUUGUAAACUUCUUUAGUGCGGGAACAAAGCGGCGUCGAGACGCCUGAUGAGUGUACCGCAAGAAUAAGCAUCGGCUAACUCCGUGCCAGCAGCCGCGGUAAUACGGAGGAUGCGAGCGUUAUCCGGAUUUAUUGGGUUUAAAGGGUGCGUAGGUGGUGAUUUAAGUCAGCGGUGAAAGUUUGUGGCUCAACCAUAAAAUUGCCGUUGAAACUGGGUUACUUGAGUGUGUUUGAGGUAGGCGGAAUGCGUGGUGUAGCGGUGAAAUGCAUAGAUAUCACGCAGAACUCCGAUUGCGAAGGCAGCUUACUAAACCAUAACUGACACUGAAGCACGAAAGCGUGGGGAUCAAACAGGAUUAGAUACCCUGGUAGUCCACGCAGUAAACGAUGAUUACUAGGAGUUUGCGAUACAAUGUAAGCUCUACAGCGAAAGCGUUAAGUAAUCCACCUGGGGAGUACGCCGGCAACGGUGAAACUCAAAGGAAUUGACGGGGGCCC
rnacentral:rRNA from 1 species